rnacentral:rRNA from 1 species
UACGUAGGUGGCAAGCGUUGUCCGGAUUUACUGGGCGUAAAGAGCGCGCAGGCGGUCGUUUAAGUCGAAUGUGAAAGCCCCCGGCUUAACUGGGGAGGGUCAUUCGAUACUGAUCGACUUGAAGGCAGGAGAGGGAAGCAGAAUUCCCGGUGUAGCGGUGAAAUGCGCAGAUAUCGGGAGGAACACCAGUGGCGAAGGCGGCACUCUGGGCCAGUAUUGACGCUGAGGAGCGAAAGCGUGGGGAGCGAACAGG